UCUGUCUCUUUCACAUACUGGAGUGUCUCUCUGUCUCUGUCUCUUUCACAUACUGGAGUGUCUCUCUGUCUCUGUCUCUUUCACAUACUGGAGUUUCACUCACUUUUAUCAGCUAGUUGCUGUCAUGGGGGCUGUUUGGCUAUGUUAUCCUCCCUGGGAUCUGGAGUGUCCAGAAUUUUAGUGUGCUCCCAUUUUCCUUUUUGAAUUAAAGCUCACAGAGUUAAUGUUUAUGCACUGUCUUGCUAUUUCCAAGUAGCCGAGGCACACUAAAAGCCUUCAAUCCAACAUCUUAGGGAAAAAACCCACAAACACAAAUAGUUUAAAUUUACAGAGAAGUUACAAUUAUAAUACAAAAGAUUUUCCAUAUGGACCAUAACUAGUUUUCCCUAUAGUUUCCCCUACUUUUUAUUACUAUGGUAUAUUUUUCACAAAUAAUGAAUCAAUCGUAAUACAUUAGGAUAAACAAAAGUUUAUACAUUAUUCAAAUUUUUCAGUGUUACCUAAUGUUCUCUUUUUCCUCUAGGGUCUCAUCCAGAUACCACAUUAUAUUUAGUUGUCUUGGUUCCUUAGACUCCUCUAGACUGUGAGUUUCUCAGGUCUUCCUUGUGUGUGUUUUUUUUGUUUUGUUUCGUUUUGUUUUGUUUUUCUUUUUUAUGACCUUGACAAUUUUGAGAAGUACUAGUCAGGUAUUUAAUGGAAAGGUCAUUGGCUGGAGUUUGUCUGAUGUUUUUCUCAGUAGUAAAUUGGGGUCGUGGGUUUUAGAGAAGAAGAACACAGAGGUAAACGGACAUUCUCUUCUCCUUAAUUUGAAGCUGCAUUCAAGGGUACAACUGCCCCACCCCCAAGCGGAUCUCCAGGCAUUCAGAGCACAAGCUUGCCAGAACCAGCAGCCUGACCCACCCCACUCCUUCUGUGCAGAGAUCCUGGGGAGUGUGCGUGUGUGUCUGCGUGUGGGGGGCCCUCUGCUCUAUCACCAGGCGGAUACUAUCAACUUGAAUUAUCACAGAUGAUGCUAACUUCAUAUCACUAUGUGCCGCCUAAACUUACGGAGUGGGGAGUUCUGUUGCACCAUAAAUGCAUGUACAUAAAUCACUCUGGAUUCUUCGCUUUGGCCAUUGAGAGCUUUUUCAGUUGAUUCCUGUGUUCCAUUGACAUACCCUCAUUAAUGUGUGUGACUGUGUGUGUGUGUGUGUGUGUGUGAGUGUGUGUGUUUGAAGCACUUUCUCCCUUUCUAGCACAAUAAGAUGUUCCACAGGCAUCUUCUACCUUCCCUGCCUCAGCCGUAGAAUCAAUUAUAUCUCCAGGAAGUCCUGGUUCAUUUUGUUGGAGAAUGAUGUUGGAAAGAAAGAUCUGGGCACUUGCAGCAUUCAUUGCCACUGAGGAACCCUUGCUUCUAGGCCCUCUCAGCUAACAGAGGAAGGGAAUAUAUGUGUAUAUAAUAAGUUUUAUAUAUACUUAUAUCUAUAAAUAUUUAUAUAUGUAUUCCUCUGUAUUUGUUCUGUUUGUAUUAUACUGAUUACACUGAUAUCUCCAACUAAUUCACUACUUCAUGAGUCAUACAAGUUUUCUCCCCUUACUUAUCUGAGCUUUUAUAAAACUAAUUAUUAAAGUGUAUAAUCAUAUUAUGGAACUGUGUUUUAUACUUCAAUAUAGGGUGGUUGGAAGGGAAGUUUGUGAGCAUUUAUUUGAAAAUCUAUCAUUUAACAAGUAUAAAAACUGAGGCAUAGAGCAUAGUCUGCAUUCAAAAGAAAAUAGAGAAUUUCAUUUUACAUAUCUUUAAAAUGACCUAUAAGUAGAGCUUUUCUAAGAAUAAGUUGAAUAUAUUCUGUUGUCACCUAGGAUAAUGCCUCUUGUCAUUGACUUCUCUUAUGUUAAGUAAACACUUCUGUGUGUAGGAGAAUCAUGUUCACCUAGUUGCCACUCCUAUCCUCCACUCCUUUGGAGCCUCUGAAAAGUCUACAAGUCCCAGCACCUCUACAUUCAGGCAGGGAGUGACAGUGACACUUCUAGGCUGAGGAUGAUGAGUGAAAUCCCAGGUGACCUUGCUUCCCUAAGGGGAAGCAACAAGUAUAACUUUUUUGUCUUGCUUUUGUUUAUGUAAUAAAUAAUAAAUGGCAAUUUAUGUUAGCUUUCAGCCACUUUGAAAUGCUCUAUUUCAAUUUUAGCUUAAAAAAAUUACACAUUAUACAUAACUUUUUAUUAUUAUUGCUAUUAAAUUAAAUGGUAUUUAUACUUGAGUGGUUGUAAUUCUGGGUAUAUUGAGUGAUUCUGGAAAUAAAUGACAAAUUUUGUAAUGACAAUUAAAUGGUAUUGAAAGAGAAAAUACCUGCUAGUAGAAAUAAGGGAUAUUUUGUGGGGGAUAAUUUUUUGUUUUUGUUUUUGUUUUAGCACCUAGAAGGAUAGAGUCUAUAUGUCAAUUUAGGAGAAUUCCAGGGAAGUAAUUUAAUUCUGGUGGAAGACUAUCAGAUGCAGUUGAAAAUGGACAUGGAUAAACUAGAGCUCAUAAACUGGUGACAAUAAUUUUGAAGUGGAUACAUUUAGGCAAAAUAAAAAGAGAUUUUACACACACACACACACACACCACCAUCAUUAUGUACAUAACCAGGACAUUUUAUAUUUAAAUUACAUCAUAGAAAUAGUUGCUCAGAAAAGUUCACCUAUCGAUACCCCUGGAGAAUGUGUAAUUGCUUGAAAUUAGCUUAAAUUGUAUUUUAUAAAGUCUCAGUGGAAACUUAAAUGUGUUGCUUAAACAAUAUUUUGUAUUAAAUAUAGUUUCACAUUUUCAUUGUCAUAAAAAGACUCUCAAGUCACUAUGAGGUUUGACACUGAAAAGACAAAAUAAUACAUAUACUGAUUCCUACUAGACAGCUGGA